AACCCUAGUCGCCUUCUGCUCACUUAACUGGCGUUAAUGGCCGUCCAAGACCUGAAACUUCCGUGUUCGCCCACUCAUCACCUCUCCUGGCCUUUGGGUUCAAAGAUCGGGAUAUUAUUGCUAAGGUGAUUGGACCAUAGGUCCUUCGAUGGGUUUUCACAGCCAUGUCCGGCCCUCUCUCCGGCAAGCCUUGAAGCCUGAGCCUUUUCCCGACUCCGGCGAGUCCUUUCC
rnacentral:lncRNA from 1 species